rnacentral:tRNA from 1 species
AUUUCCCUAGUAUCAACUUUAAUACAAAUGACUUCCAAUCAUUUAAUCUUGGUUAAACUCCAGGGGGGAAUA